rnacentral:rRNA from 1 species
ACGGAAGGCAGCAGUGGGGAAUAUUGGGCAAUGGACGAAAGUCUGACCCAGCGACGCCGCGUGAAGGAAGAAGGCCCUCGGGUUGUAAACUUCAGUCAACAGGGAAGAAACAAAUGACGGUACCUGUGGAGGAAGCCACGGCUAACUACGUGCCAGCAGCCGCGGUAAUACGUAGGUGGCGAGCGUUAUCCGGAUUUACUGGGUGUAAAGGGUGUGUAGGCGGGUUUGCAAGUCAGAUGUGAAAAUUAUGGGCUUAACUCAUAACUUGCAUUUGAAACUGUAGAUCUUGAGUGUCGGAGAGGUAAAUGGAAUUCCCAGUGUAGCGGUGAAAUGCGUAGAUAUUGGGAGGAACACCAGUGGCGAAGGCGGUUUACUGGACGAUUACUGACGCUGAGACACGAAAGUGUGGGGAGCAAACAGGAUUAGAUACCCUGGUA